rnacentral:rRNA from 1 species
AUGAACGCUAGCGGCAGGCCUAAUACAUGCAAGUCGAGCGGCAAGUCGAGGAGUAAUCUAAGACCUAGAGCGGCGCACGGGUGCGUAACGCGUAUGCAACCUACCUCAUACAGGGGGAUAGCCCGGAGAAAUCUGGAUUAAUACCCCAUGGUACUGUUAAUCAGCAUUGGUAUACAGUUAAAGCAUUGCGGUAUAAGAUGGGCAUGCGUCCUAUUAGCUAGAUGGUGAGGUAACGGCUCACCAUGGCUACGAUAGGUAGGGGGCCUGAGAGGGUGGUCCCCCACACUGGUACUGAGACACGGACCAGACUCCUACGGGAGGCAGCAGUGAGGAAUAUUGGUCAAUGGGCGCAAGCCUGAACCAGCCAUGCCGCGUGCAGGAAGAAUGCCCUAUGGGUUGUAAACUGCUUUUAUUUGGGAAUAAACCUCUUUACGUGUAGAGAGCUGAAGGUACCAAAUGAAUAAGCACCGGUUAACUCCGUG